AACGAACGCUGGCGGCAUGCCUAACACAUGCAAGUCGAACGAGACCUCCGGGUCUAGUGGCGCACGGGUGCGUAACGCGUGGGAACCUGCCCUUAGGUUCGGAAUAACUCUCCGAAAGGGGUGCUAAUACCGGAUAAUGUCUUCGGACCAAAGAUUUAUCGCCUUUGGAUGGGCCCGCGUUGGAUUAGCUAGUUGGUAGGGUAAAAGCCUACCAAGGCGACGAUCCAUAGCUGGUCUGAGAGGAUGAUCAGCCACACUGGGACUGAGACACGGCCCAGACUCCUACGGGAGGCAGCAGUGGGGGAUAUUGGACAAUGGGCGAAAGCCUGAUGCAGCAAUGCCGCGUGAGUGAUGAAGGCCUUAGGGUUGUAAAGCUCUUUUACCCGGGAUGAUAAUGACAGUACCGGGAGAAUAAGCUCCGGCUAACUCCGUG
rnacentral:rRNA from 1 species